AAAUUUAUUUUCCAAAAUUCAAUAAAAAUUCCCACAAAACCUUGUCUUAAUAAGAGUUUUUGGUCGGAUUGGACUCCUUCUUCCAUUAUUAUUUCUAUAUAGUUGGUUAAAAUUAUAUAUCCUUCAGCCUGCUCUUACUAAGCAUAAAUCCUGCAUCCAUUCCUGUGAAUAUAUGAUGGACUAAAAAUGAAUUGAAAAAUAAAAGUAAUGAAAGGAGGACCUUUCUCUUAGCGUGUAGAUGUCUAAACACGCAUCAGCCUUUAUGCAUUUGCGAUCUAAACCUUUUACACCACGUGAAAUAAAGACAGAAGACUUUUCGAUUUCAUACUACCAUGAGAGAGAAACGUUUGAGAGUUGAGAGGAUGCUCCAUUUGUCCAGAGAAAGCUUGUACUUUUCGCCUUGACAGUAUUGAAUAGUAGUGUACUUGUGAUUUGUCAUAGGGAAGUUUAUAGUUGAGAAGUGAAUUUGGAAUAGUUGCCAAUUGAAUUUGGUUGCUUCAAUUCAUGGUUUGGCAAAGAUUUUUGGACAAAUAUUGAUGGGCCAAGGAGAGAUUUGCUAUCUCCAAGACAGCCGCCAUGAAGUUUUGACAUUUUGCAGUGGUAUCUAUAACCCCAGUUCUCUCACGUUGUAUCAAUGGAAUCAACAAGAUGAGUAUAAUAUGGUAAUAAAUUAGCAAAUUUACUUCCUCAAGUCACUACAGGUGCAACUUAACAGUUGUAGAAUGGCUUUUUAUUCUUUUUUCUGUACGAGUCUCCUGUAAAAAGAGAAAAAAAAACAGUAUUCUCAUUUGAUUGAUGUACUCAUCAUCCCCGCUCAAAGAACUGGGUUGCAAUCGCUUUCCCCCAAUCAAAAUCGAAAGCACAGAAACGAUUUCUGCCUUGGGUCGGGGCCAAUGAGAUUGGUCAUUUUACUCUGUUUGAUUUACCAGGCCUGCUUUUACUCUUGGGUACUCUAGAAGUGGGAUUUAUUAUUCAUGUGUAAAAUUAAGGAGGCGUGCAGGCCAUUAGUAAGGUCGGGAUGGCGUUUGGUUUGGCUUGCAAAAGGUACUGGAGUUUUCGCUUCGUAUAAGCAAAUAUGGCUGCUCAUGAGUUAUGACUUGUCAGCUGGGUAGGCUUUGGACCAGAUAUUCUGAAUGACAUUAGGUUAUGUGGUGACUAAGGUAAAAACUUCUUUUAGUUCUUUAUCUAAGUUGAUUGUUUCUUUGUUUGGUUAUUCCUUCGAGCAAUUGUUUUUCCAACUAGUAUAUGAUAUCGACUCCGAACGCGCUCACUAACAUUUUUCUCUGUGGUUGGUGCAUUCUUUGUUCCUAAACAAGCACACAUUUGCAACACUAUUCUGUGACCCUUCAUUCGGUGAUUUAGUUGCCUUUUCCCAGUCUUGAAGUUCUCGAUCUUGCGUAAGAAUAAUGUUGUUGUUGUCCUCCUAUUCCUAUGCAUUUUAUAACUAUGUGCUAAUGCAACUCAAAAAAAAAAAAAAACUAUGUGCUAAUAAUUUAUGUAGGCAUGCUGUAUAUGGCAAGUGUAUAAGAGUAAGCUGUAAGCAGUUCAAAGAGGGAGAGGAGAGAAACAGGGAGAAAAUUCAGGAACCAUUGCUUGAGUUUGAUUUUUUAUGUUAGUAUAGGUUUCUGAAGAUCAUUAUGACCAUUGUGAAUUUAUGUUACAAAUCCCAGAAUUUUAAUUUUAGAAAUUCCCUUGUUCUCAGAACAAUGUUGACAACACAAAAUGAAAUCCCUUGGUGAAUCCAUGGCUUUGGGCCAUGCUUUUCAUGAAUCCUUCUUGAAAAAUUCAGAGGCAUAUGGCCACUCUGGAUAAGGUUGUGCACAGGUUAAGAAAAUUGAGGAGGAUGACGUCUUGAAAGUGGGUUUUACUUUGGGUGGAGGACUUCACUUUGUUGGUGAAAGAAUUUAGUUUGGCUAUUGUUGCUACCCAAUAAAUCUUUUCUCCUUCAGGUUUAUGUUACCCUCUUCCUGUUUCUGUUUCUUUCCUGCAGGUUGGAGGUCAAACAUCCAUGAAGUUGGCUAUCCCUACCCAUCACCCUAUUUAGAUGCUGGACAAACCUUUAUGUGCCAAUAGGACUGUACAUGUAGCCUUCUGGGGUACAUUUCUGGGUCCCAUAGUUGCAGCCGAAGUCAGAGAGCUCAAUGCCUUCCUUAAGAAGUUAAGAAUUGAGCAGCCAAAGAGAGUUUGUGGAAAAGAACAAAGAUGGCGCUCUUGCCAUUGCAAUAGGCAUAGGCUCCUCAUGUAUAUUGAUUAAAAGCUUGUGACACCAUGCUGCUGAGGUUUACCCAAAACAACCUCAAUGGAUUAAGAAGUAUUUAUCUGAUGCAAUUGAAUUUUUGGAGAUGUAGUUUCUGAUCACAGUAUUGUGGUUCUCUAUGUCUCUCUCUCUCUCUGUCUGUGGGAUUGGGGUUUGGAGAUUGGGAAAAUAUGCUGCUGCACUUUUUAUGGCUGGUAAGUCACCGAUCCCUGAUCUAAGUUUCAGGAAUCAGGUCAUGACACGACAUUUCAGUUAAGAAAGCUGAUCUUCCUUUUUGAGCAGUGCCAAGGCUAUGAUCUGUUUUUGGGUCCUAAAAUGAACUGCUAAGGUCGUGGCAUUGAUUUUUGGAUUUGCAAUGGCACUUGCCAAUGCUCAAAUUGCUGCUAGGCAGAAGCUAUAUCACUGUGUGACUUCCUAUGUAACUCUUCCUUGCUUAAAGCAAAUCGUUGUGUUUCCCACACUGUGCCAUUUGUGCCCAUAGCAGUUGGGAGAUUGGCAAAAUAUGCUGCUGCACUUGUUGUGGAUGGUAAGUCACUGAUCCUGAUCUACUUUCAAAAAAAAAGUGUCACUAACCGUGAUCUAAGUUUCAGGUAAGAGGCCAUGAUACGACAUGUCAGUUAAGAAAGCUGAUCUUCCUUUUUGGGCAAUGCCAAGGCUGUGAUCUGUUUUUGGGUCCUAAAAUGAACUGCUAAGGUUCUUGGCAUUGAUUUUUGGAUUUGCAGUGACACUUACCAUUGCUCAAAUUGCUGCUAGGCAGAAGCGAUAUCACUGUGUGACUUCCUACGUGGCUCUUUCUUUCUUAAGGCAACCCGUUGUGUUUUUCACACUGUAACAUUUCUGCACAUAGCAGUUGGGAGAUUGGCAAAACAUGCUUCUGCACUUAUUAUGGCUGGUAAGUCAUUGAUCCCUGAUCUAAGUUUCAGGAAAGAGGCCAUGACACCACAUGUCAGUUAAGAAGGCUGAUCUUCCUUUUUGAGCAAUGCCAAGGCUCUGAUGUGUUUUUGGAUCCUAAAAUGAACUGCUAAGGUUGUGGCCAUUAUUUUUGGGUUUGCAAUGGCUCUUGCCAAUGCUCAAAUUGCUGCUAGGCAGAAGUUAUGUCACCAGCCAGCCAUGUGUUACUUGGCUUAAAUGCUUUGACCAAUUUCCAUCUUCAAAGUUUUGCAAAGGCUUUCUAAGGGAUAGGAUUCUGGAAAUUUUUUGACAUCUGGGAUUGGUCACUUUCUCAAGCUAAAAGGCAUUCCAGUGGAAUGAGCAUUGGAGAUUCAUGAACAGUGGCUACUAUCAAUUGACAUGGUUGCUAGUGGGCAGAUUGAGUUGAUGAUAACAGCGAGCUCUGGUAAUGAGCUCUGGUAAUGCACUUGAUCAGAUUGAUUGCCAACAAUUAGAGUGAAUGGUUGUUAUGUGCCACUUCCUCUUGACCAGUGCAGAGGUAAGGAGGUCCAAGUCAUACACCAUUGAUGUGGUUACUCUUCAAGACUUCUAUGAUGAUGAGUUAGAAGCAGGGGAGGGGGGUUGCCAAAGCUUGCUAUGUGCCACUUCCUGUCCAUGAAUUGAUCGGUAUUUCUGGUGGUUGUACCAUUUACAUAUGUCUUCAUAAACAGCAAAUUACUUUGUUCAAGACAAUGGUAUUGGAGUCCUUGCUGAGAAAAUAACUUCUAAUUCCUUUUUCUGGAUAAGAAUAGCUUCUGAUUUCAUGUUUUAUUCAUCUAUUUCUUUUCUCCCCCAUGUUCAGUCAUUUGCUUUUGAAGUUUGACAGACUUGCUGUUACCAAAUAAAUAGGAAAUUUUAGCAAUAGAUAUCAAAUGUUUUCGAAGACCUUCUACCUAUGCUGAAAUUUUUAUAAAAGAAAUCCUUGCAUGAUUAUUUCCUGAGGGAGUCCUUCCUUCACUAUACAUGAAGAAUGUGCUUGCUUUUACCCCUACAAGUUUGACAAGAGUGCUUUAUUGUUUCUUGUUCUAAAUGACCAUGUAUCACAAUUUAGAUGUAGGAUAAUGCAGGAUAUAUCUCUCUGGAUUUUUAUGGAGGAUAAAUAUGUCCAAAAUUCAGGCACAAAAGGGUGAAACAUAGUAGCAUCCCGGUCUUUUUGCUAAAAAAUAUUUAAUAAUUCUAAGCUAUCAUUUCUAGUUUCAUUUCCCCUCUCUGGAGUUCUUUAAAUGCACAAUUGUCUUGGUAUA